CAGGUGAAGAUACCAAGGCUCUGAAAAAUGCACAAUUUAAGGAUCGAAGAAGGCUUCCUCAGCAAUCUGAUACUCUUCAGUGCACAGCUAAAGUAUCUUCAUAAAAUCGAUGCCAUUGAUUUUAAGGCUUGGGGAUUGACAUAGAGCUGGUAUUUGGAUCUGUGAUAGGAGUUGUCUGGGACAAAGAAUAAGGGGCUUUACAAUCACAGGCAGCAUCAUGACUGGACUGGGAGAAUGACAAGCCCAAAGGUAGUUUAUGCAGCAAUAAAUCUUGUUCAAAUCUAGAGACAAAGGAGUAGCUUAAUCAGUAACCUGCACCAUUGCUCCAGGACAAAGACUUAACCCUCUUGAAAUGACACAGGUUCAAAAAAAAGGACUUGAUAUCCACCCGUCUUCCCAUGUAUUACCUUUCUGCACUAGGGCAAAGAAAAUAUACAUGCAAUCAUCAAAAUGCAGCUGUUGGUCAUGAGAAGUAUAAAUGGGAUCUCAAACAAUAAACAAAUCAGCAUCUUCAUUCACCCAAGAAGUGUCCAAAGGACUCUCACAUAACCACUGGAUCACCUCCUACAACUUGGGACUAUCAUCUGGUAGAAAGAAAAACUCUUCCUGUAAUUCUAUCUGCAGCAGGAGAGAGGCUGCUUUUAUCUUCUACAUAUGGUGAUGUGGAUUCUAAGAGAAGCCAGGUUCUUAUCACCACAGGCCAGUCUGAUUUGGUAGUUCUUCAGUUUCCUCAUAAUUUGUCACCUCCCUCCGAGUCAAGGGUAACUUCUGGAUGCCAACAUUCCCCUCAACUGAAAGGAAUUCCAGGUUGAAUGGGAACGUUAACAUCAGCUUUUAGAUCAUAUGUUGCCUCCUCAAAGCACUUAAGAGUUUAGGUGCUUACAGACACCCAGGAUGAUAACAAAACAAGUGUCUUGGAGACAAGAAGAGUGAUGUAUUAUUAGUUCACUUUCCUUAUAUCUGUCUCCUGAGAUCCUCUGCUCACAAGCAAGCCAGUCUUUUGCUUUUGUCAAUUCGUUUCAAUUCAAUUCAACCUUAUCUAAACCUUCAUUAUGUGCUUACUAUGUAAAAAGAACAGUGUUAGGUAUAUGGAGAGAUCCAAAAAUUAACCCCAAAGUACUUUCCUCACUUCUAAAAUACGUGAUAUUGCCUUUUGUAAGGGUCUACUGUGUGUGUAUGUCACCUGAAGAGCAGCCUAAGUUCGGAACCACUGGUGACAGAGUGAUACAUUUUUUUAUUCUUAGCAGUUCUCGGAGACUAUGUACCAAAGUGGAGAAUAGUACCCAUACCAAUGCCAUUUGGUGUCAUUGAAGUAAGUGUGAAAAUGGGAAUGCUGCUCAGCGGAGAAACGUAGAAAGUCUGUUUCAAGAGAGGGAUUUCUCACCAGUUUCCAUUUAUGACAACUUUUCCAGUGAUAACUGUGUAGCUAGAACUGGCAUUUACAGUAAACUGGUUUUGGUGGCAACCAUGUUGGUGAAACAAAGAGAAGUCAAAGAAAACACCGUACACCUAACAGUCCUGCAAGUGAAGAGAAUGCUGAACUGCAAAUGAGAAUCAUUUCCCUCACAAGAACCUGGAAAUGCUCUGUUUUGUAACAAACAUGAAUGAUCUAACCACAAACCAAGCUGAUUCAAGGCAGGGGUUGAGUUGGAGAUUGGGGGUGGGGUGGGGUAGGGAGGAGAGUAGUGUUUCCUGCUGUGUGAAGACCAGGAGACCAGGGAACAGGAUUAGAAGACAAGACUUAAUGCACCCUCUAGUGGCUAAUAUGCAGACAAUUCUUUCACUAUUUACGAGGCCCAAGUUUUGACCAUGAAACCCUCUUCUCUUUGAUUUAUAUGCUACACAACAGCA